rnacentral:rRNA from 1 species
GACGAACGCUGGCGGCGUGCUUAACACAUGCAAGUCGAACGAAGAGCGAUGGAAGCUUGCUUCUAUCCAUCUUAGUGGCGAACGGGUGAGUAACGCGUAAUCAACCUGCCCUUUAGAGGGGGACAACAGUUGGAAACGACUGCUCAUACCGCAUACGAUCUAAUCUCGGCAUCGAGGAUAGAUGAAAGGUGGCCUCUACAUGUAUGCUAUCAUUGCAGGAGGGGAUUGCGUCUGAUUAGCUAGAUGGAGGGGUAACGGCCCACCAAGGCGAUGAUCAGUAGCCGGUCUGAGAGGAUGAGCGGCCACAGUGGGACGGAGACACGGCCCAGACGCCUACGGGAGGCAGCAAUGGGGAAUCUGCCGCAAUGGACGAAAGUCUGACGGAGCAACGCCGCGGGAGGGAGGACGGCCGUCGGGUUGGAAAGCUCUGUUAAUCGGGACGAAAGGCCUUCUUGCGAAUAGUGAGAAGGAUUGACGGUAACGGAAUAGAAAGCCACGGCUAACUACGUG